AACGAACGCUGGCGGCGUGGAUAAGACAUGCAAGUCGAACGGGCCCCAAAGUUCCCGCAAGGGAGUUUCGGGGUUAGUGGCGAACGGGUGCGUAACACGUGGGGAAUCUGCCGAGAAGUGGGGGAUAGCUCGCCGAAAGGCGAAUUAAUACCGCAUAUGAUCAGGGAAGACAUCUUUCCAACAUCAAAGCCGGGGCAACCUGGCGCUUCUUGAUGACCCCGCGGCCUAUCAGCUAGUUGGCGGGGAAUGGCCCACCAAGGCGACGAUGGGUAGCUGGUCUGAGAGGAUGGUCAGCCACACUGGGACUGAGAUACGGCCCAGACUCCUACGGGAGGCAGCAGUCGAGAGGCUUCGGCAAUGGGGGAAACCCUGACCGAGCGACGCCGCGUGGGGAUGAAGGCCCUUGGGUGUAAACCCCUUUGUUCGGGAAGAAAUGCGAUCAGGUGAACAAUCUGGUCGUUUGACGGUACCGGACGAAUAAGCUCCGGCUAACUCCGUGCCAGCCGCCGCCGU
rnacentral:rRNA from 1 species